GAUUUUAAUUAGAGCCCGACCGAUAUAUCGGCCGGACGAUAUUAUCGGCCGAUAUGAGCUUAUUGCAUUUAAAUCGGCAUCGGCGUUUAUAACGGCCGAUGGAACAUGAGAAACGGAGUCUCAUGCUUUACUCAUGUUAUGAGUGUUGCAUAGUUUACCCACCAGAGGGAGCUCUGCAGCUCCAGAGUUGACAACAGCGCCAGAAAUCCACUAGCGAAGAAAGCGAUCAGCCAAGCCAGCCACGGAGAUUUUUUUUCUGUUUUGACGAUGGCUGAAAAAGGUGAAUGCUGUAGCAGCAAAGUGUCGGACUACUUCUGCAAAUACUUUAACUUUAGUAUUAUAAUUUAUUUACAGAACACACACAGACUGUUAAAACCAGCUUCAACUGGAAGAAAGUAAAAGUGUUAAAUGUUUAAAAUCAGACUGUUUUUUUGACCAUUAAAAAAUAUAUACUUUUGAUGUGCAAUUGUUUAGUCAUUGAGACUAUAAUCUAAGGCUUUUUUUUUUUUUUACAUAAUCUCUUCUGGAAAAUGGUUUAUACAGCCCACAUACAUAGAACAGGCAGAUAUUUUGCUAUUGAAUGUUGUGUAAGUGCAGUAUAUAGGAAAUGGGUCUAAUAUCCAGUUUAUUUUCAAAAUCAAAAUAUCGGCUUAUAAAUCGGCUUUUUUCGAGUUAAUAUCGGCAUCGGCCCCCAAAAAUCCAUAUCGGUCGGGCUCUAAUUUUAAUA